UGUGGUGGUGCGGGGCAUGGCGUCGGAGGUCCAGGCCCAGCAAGUGGACCUCAAGGCCCAAGACAAGACGAGCUUGAAAACGUUCUCAAUCUACCGGUGGAACCCAGAAAACCCGAAGAAGCCGGAGCUCCGUGAGUACGAGAUCGACCUCAAGGAGUGUGGGCCCAUGGUGCUCGACGCCCUCAUUAAGAUCAAGAACGAGAUGGACCCCAGCCUCACCUUCCGUCGAUCUUGCCGUGAAGGGAUCUGCGGCUCCUGCGCCAUGAACAUCGACGGCUGUAACGGGCUCGCUUGCUUGACGAAGAUAGCGCCGUCGUCUUCCGUCGGAGCGACGACGAUAACGCCGUUGCCGC
rnacentral:lncRNA from 1 species